rnacentral:piRNA from 1 species
UACAAUACCAAAAUGGAGAAUCAGCACAGU